rnacentral:rRNA from 1 species
UACGUAGGGGGCUAGCGUUGUCCGGAUUUAUUGGGCGUAAAGAGCUCGUAGGCGGUCUGUCGCGUCGGCUGUGAAAACUCGGGGCUCAACCCCGAGCCUGCAGUCGAUACGGGCAGACUAGAGUGCUGUAGGGGAGACUGGAAUUCCUGGUGUAGCGGUGAAAUGCGCAGAUAUCAGGAGGAACACCGAUGGCGAAGGCAGGUCUCUGGGCAUUAACUGACGCUGAGGAGCGAAAGCAUGGGGAGCGAACAGG